AGAUUAAGUAUACAUGGGAGAUGGAUAAGAUGUUUGCUUGAUGCCUGGUAAGGCCAGAUGCACUCACCUGGACAAUCUGCUACCUCCUUGAAUGCUCUUUUCUUACAGCAUCCUCGGCACAUGUUAAACACACAUUUAGUGCCCUGGGUUGGGACAGCGAUACAAAGAAGCUUGUGUCAGUGAAAAUAAAAUUGUUACUGUUUACUAUAAUAAGUAACAAUACAGCUCUGCACUUUCAGAUCUUUGGGAAAAACCCAUGUACUCAGCCUAAUGAAGAUGAUGGAGUUGAUGUCACAUUGGGUGCUAUCUGCUGUUUGCACAUAAAGAACAGAAAAACCCCAACCAACCAAAAAAAACCUCCACAUUCAACUUGUGCAGCCCCCACAGCCUGUUGGGCAGCCUGAGUUACCCACCACAAGCAGCCACAUGCCAUAAGCCCUCUGCAACAAGCAUGAACACAUUUGGAGCUUGCUCUAGUUCUCUGCAGCAUGAAACACGGUGCUCCCAUCUGCAGCUAGGCCUAUAAUAUGUUACCACCAGAAUUACUUCCCUACUUGCAUCUUAAAACACACCUGCAUAUUUAUUAAAGUAUAAUGUAUGACCCUUAGGGGACAGCAGCAGCUGAGUCUUGGCUAACUGAUGAGGUGGCAAAACGAGCCUCGGUCUCCGGGGUGCUUUGCUCACACGCAGUUUAGAAAAGGGGGUUGAGAUUGUUUACCCUGAUUCCCUUCACCCCAGUCAGAAAAUCCUUCAUGUUUAGGGAGGCUUUAGUUGAGCUCCUUGUCCUUUUUCUUCUCCGCACCCCCACACCCCCCCACCACAUUUCAUGACAUAGCUCAGAAACACAUAAUCUAGGGGAAAAAAAAAAUAAUUACAGGACUAGUCAGAAGAUUUCAAGAGCUACCUGCAACUUUACAGUGAUGCAACAGCAAAACAAAAAUAAGUCUUUAAGCCCUGGUGCAGACGGUCUUGGUUUACGCACCAAGCAUAAACCAUGUCAAACCAUGUCAUUUGGAUUAGCUAUGAAACAGGAUGGCUUUGAAAGCAGGCCAGCCUAGUGCUCAGUGCUUUCCCAAUAAGGAACACAGCAAAAAAAUCCCAUUUUUUUCAGUAGCUUCAAAUUGAGCCUCAGCUGGCUGCCACUGCUGUGCUGCAGUAACAGCCUUACAACAGGGAGCAACAUCACGUGCCUGCGUUGCAGGCUCCCGCGCCCCCUGAGGUGCACGUAAUGCUAAUUUUUAAGCUAGAACACAAAAUUACUUGCAUCUUACACCCCACUUUACAGUUAUAUUAGCAGCAAUAAAUACACUCUGCUUACACAGCAACACCACCCUGCCAAGCAAACAGCUAUGUUUACCAAGGGAAAAAAUAAACAAGCAAAAGCAAAAUGAACUCUUUGCAAAUAUAAAAAUAUUUGAAAUUUCAAUACAGAACCUGUAAAACCAGCUGCCUCAUUUCACAUUGCUAAUAGUGAAAGUCAAUGUUAAUCUAUUGCAAAGGCAGGACUGAGGAUGAAGAGGUGCUUAGGCUUGUUUUGAUAAAGGUAGACAUCAAAACAACACAAACCAGAGCUGCAGAUGCUGUCUGACACUUACUGCAGGCUGUACUGUGAUGACAUUUACACUAAGAACCAUACCAGUUAUUCAAACUUUCCCUUUGCAGAAAAACUCCACCCACCACUAACACCAGUAAGAGGUGGUUUGUUUUUCAUUUCACAGUAAAAUAUGCAUGUCAUACAUGUGUAGAAGUCUGGAGAUUUGUUUCCAAGAUAUCUUUGGAAAUUUGAUUAACUCACUCAACUGGUUUAGCAAUAAAUACCCUCAGCAGCAGCAGGACUGCACUUUUUUGGAGAGGAAGGCAAAUUCUCUCAAAGAACCUAUGUAUGUUAAGGAUUUUUGUGCAGCACCUUCAACCUCAGAUACUGGUUACAGUUAACAGUUAAAAAGCUUUAGCCCAAGUACGGACUUUCCUCCACACACACACACACACACAUUAUCAGCAGGACUUGGCCUGCACCUGUGUGACUGGGCACUGGCACGGACCUACCUCAGGAUUUGGAAUAACAGAAUAGAAUCAGGAUAGUUUGGGUUGGAAGGAGUCUUUAGAGGUCAUCUACUCCAACCCCCUGCAAAGAGCAGGGACAUUUUCUACUAGAUCAGGUUGCUCAGAGCCCUGUUCAACCUGACCUUGAAUGUUUCCAGGAAUGAGGCAUCCACAACCUCUCUGGGAAACCUGGGCCACUGCCUCACCAUAAAAAAUGACUUCUAAUCUAAGGUGCAUCUAGUCUGAAUCUACUCUCUUUAAACCCAUCACCCCUUGUCCUACUCCAACAAGCUCUGCUAAAAAGUCCAUUGCUGUCUUUAAGUCCCCUUUAGGCACCGGAAGGGGCAGUGAGGCUCCCCAGAGCAUUCUCUUCUCCAGGCUGAACAGCCCCCCUGUCUCUCAGCCUGUCUCCUUGACAGAGGGAUUCCAUCCCCCAAUCAUCUCUGUAGCCUCCUCUGGGCCUGCCCUAACAGCUCCAUGUUUCUCCUGCACCAAGGGCCCCAGAGCUGGAUGCAGAGUGCCAGGCGGGGUCUCACAAGAGCAAAGGCACAAAUCCCCCACCCCAUGACCUGCUGUCCAUGCUGCUUUUGAUGCAGCCUAGAACACAGGGGCUUUCUGGGCUGUGAGUGCACAUUGCUGAGUCAUGAGCAGCCUCUCAUCCACCAGCACCCCAAAGUCCUGGGCAGGGCUGCUCUCAAGCUGUUCCUGCCCCUAGCCUGGAUUUGAUACCACGGUUGCCCUGACCCAAGUGCAGAAUCUUGCACUUGGCCUUGUUAAACCUCAGAGGUUCCCAGAGGCCACUGCCUGAGCUUGUCCAGGUCCCUCUGGAUGGCCCUGUCCCUCAGGUGUGUCAUCACUCCACUCAGCUUGGUGUCAUCUGCAAAUGUGCUGAGGACACUCUUGAUCCCACUAUGGUGACCUCAGUGGUGGAGACACUGAACAGUGCUGGUGCCAGCACAGACCCGAGGGACAGCACGUGUCACUUAUCUCCAUCCAGAGCCUGCACCAUGGACAUUUAAUUUCCCUUUAACGGAAAUGCUUUGAUGGACGCUUGUACUGGCUUACCUUAGGGUUUCCACACUGAUCACAUUUUGCAUACUUGGCUGAGAGAGAGAGAGAGAGAGAGAGAGCUGAUUUCACCAACGGUAUUUUUACGUGGAAGUAAAUAAAAAAAAAAAUCAGAACAAGAAAAGCUUGGUGCUUUUCUAGCCAGAGUCCUUUUGAAAUAAAACUACAGUACCUCAAAUAACAGUGCAAAGCUAAAAAAACUUUGGAUUUUUAAGUGCCUCUAUGUUAAAAUCCAAACAUUGAAAAUUUUAAUCCUCAAGUCAAGCAUAAAACAGGAGGACAUCAGCUUGAAAUUCAUGUAAAAUUUCCAUUUCAAAUGCUAGUGACAGCUACAAUGCAGUUUGUAAACCAUUUUGAUCUUCAAAAGAUGCUUAGAGAGAAUCAGUGACCUACUACUUUGAUCCUUGUUUCCUUUACUAGUGAACAUUAUUUGAAUCAUGCUGCCUGCUAUUAAAAUUUCAAUAGCAACAGUUCCUCCUCUUUUCAAAGAAGUUUCUACAAGUACACAAGCCAGGAAAAUUCUUAGCAGCAAGUUAUGUCAAAGGUGGUAUCAGCAUAUCUCCAUACAUUUAUGCCAAUAAAUGAACUUACGUUUUAAAGAUGGA